rnacentral:rRNA from 1 species
UACGUAGGGGGCAAGCGUUGUCCGGAUUUAUUGGGCGUAAAGAGCGUGUAGGCGGCCGUACAGGUCAGCUGUGAAAACUCGAGGCUCAACCUCGAGACGUCGGUUGAAACCGUACGGCUAGAGUCCGGAAGAGGAGAGUGGAAUUCCCGGUGUAGCGGUGAAAUGCGCAGAUAUCGGGAAGAACACCGGUGGCGAAGGCGGCUCUCUGGGACGGGACUGACGCUGAGACGCGAAAGCGUGGGGAGCGAACAGG